AUGCCGGGCCUUUGUAGGUCUGGCAAUUGGAAUGAGAACAAUUUAAACCCCUUAUCGAGUAUCAAUUGGAGGGCAAGUCUGGUGCCAGCAGCCGCGGUAAUUCCAGCUCCAAUAGCGUAUAUUAAAGUUGUUGCAGUUUAAAAGCUCGUAGUUGGAUUUGUGGCUGUCACGGGCGGCCUAUCACUUUGUGUUAGUGCUUGCCUGUGUCGCCAUCCUUGGGUGGAGCCCGUGUGGCAUUAGGUUGUCGUGCGGGGGAUGCCCAUCGUUUACUGUGAGAAAAUUAGAGUGUUCAAAGCAGGCUUAUGCCGUUGAAUAUGUUAGCAUGGAAUAAUAAGAUAGGACCUCGGUACUAUUUUGUUGGUUUGCGCACCGAGGUAAUGAUUAAUAGGGACAGUUGGGGGUAUUCGUAUUCCAUUGUCAGAGGUGAAAUUCUUGGAUUUCUGGAAGACGAACUACUGCGAAAGCAUUUACCAAGGAUGUUUUCAUUAAUCAAGAACGAAAGUUAGGGGAUCGAAGAUGAUUAGAUACCAUCGUAGUCUUAACCAUAAACUAUGCCGACAAGGGAUUGGCGGAGUUUCGUUUUGUCUCCGUCAGCACCUUAUGAGAAAUCACAAGUCUUUGGGUUCCGGGGGGAGUAUGGUCGCAAGGCUGAAACUUAAAGAAAUUGACGGCACCACCAGGAGUGGAGCCUGCGGCUUAAUUUAACCCAACACGGGAAAACUUACCAGGUCCAGACAAAGUGAGGAUUGACAGAUUGAGAGCUCUUUCUUGAUUCUUUGGGUGGUGGUGCAUGGCCGUUCUUAGUUGGUGGAGUGAUUUGUCUGGUUAAUUCCGUUAACGAACGAGACCCCUGCCUGCUAAAUAGCUUGACAAAUGAGUUUUCAUUCGUUGAAGCUUCUUAGAGGGACGUGCAUUCUAUUAGAUGCAGGAAGAUAGGGGCAAUAACAGGUCUGUGAUGCCCUUAGAUGUCCUGGGCCGCACGCGCGCCACACUGAUGCGUUCAACGAGUUCUUUUCCUUGGCCGAGAGGCCUGGGCAAUCUUUUGAACGCGCAUCGUGAUAGGGAUUGACACUUGCAAUUAUUUGUCAUGAACGAGGAAUUCCUAGUAAACGCAGAUCAUCAAUCUGCAUUGAUUACGUCCCUGCCCUUUGUACACACCGCCCGUCGCACCUACCGAUUGAAUGGUCCGGUGAAGCCUCGGGAUUGUGGCGAGUUUCCUUUAUUGGGAGUUUGUCGCGAGAACUUGUCUAAACCUUAUCAUUUAGAGGAAGGUGAAGUC
rnacentral:rRNA from 1 species